rnacentral:lncRNA from 10 species
UCGCUAUAUUGCCCAGGCUGAUCUUGAGCGCCUGACCUCAAGCAGUCCUCCUGCCUCAGCCUCCCGAGUAGCUGAGAUCACAGGUGCAUGCCACUGCGCCCAGCUUGACAUUGAUUCUAUGAUAACAGCAGCCCGUGGAAUGGUGGAAGCAGCCAGACACACUUGGGAAUUACCUUGGCCUCUGGGACUCCCAACUCCCGAGAGAGUGGCAGACACCAGGAUAUGGCGGUGUUGCCCAGGGCUGAGCCUUGAGGUAAAGUAGGGAUCCCACUCCUCCCCCACACAGCAUGGGCAGCCUUGGGGCCUCAUGCAAGACGGGCCCGGCACCAGCCCCUACCGGGUUGCAAAAGCAGUGCAAAGGCCCAAAGAAAGGUGAGUAAUGGAGGGAGGGAGAGCCACGUGGGUCAGGGGGGCUCCAAGAUCCCUGGACUGCCAGUGCUGGGUGGAGCAGGGAGAUGCCUUCACCUACCCAAACCUCAAAUCACAUGGAUGGGAAGAUACAGGCCCAAGCUGUCCCAGUGCACAACCCUCGCAGCUCACACACUAUGUCAGCUUCCCUUCUCUCCCUCCCUUCCUUGUGCAGGGCAGGGCUACUUUAGGGCUGAGGCAGGGAGGCUCAGAGAGGUGCAGAGACUUGCCCCAGCCACAUGGCUGGCAGUGCGCCUCUGAUCAGCACUUCCUCUGUGCCAGGCUUCCACCUCCUUCAUCUUCUUUAAUCCUUGCAACAACCUUUCAAGGUGGGAGUGAUUUGUUUUUUGUUUUGUGUGUGU